rnacentral:tRNA from 1 species
UGUCAGGAUGGCCGAGUGGUCUAAGGCGCCAGACUCAAGUUCUGGUCUUCGAAAGAGGGCGUGGGUUCAAAUCCCACUUCUGACAUUA